rnacentral:rRNA from 1 species
AUUGAACGCUGGCGGCAUGCCUUACACAUGCAAGUCGAACGGUAACGGGCCUUCGGGUGCCGACGAGUGGCGCACGGGUGAGUAAUACAUCGGAACGUGCCCGAUCGUGGGGGAUAACGAGGCGAAAGCUUUGCUAAUACCGCAUACGAUCUACGGAUGAAAGCAGGGGACCGCAAGGCCUUGCUCGGACGGAGCGGCCGAUGGCAGAUUAGGUAGUUGGUGGGAUAAAAGCUUACCAAGCCGACGAUCUGUAGCUGGUCUGAGAGGAUGAUCAGCCACACUGGGACUGAGACACGGCCCAGACUCCUACGGGAGGCAGCAGUGGGGAAUUUUGGACAAUGGGCGCAAGCCUGAUCCAGCCAUGCCGCGUGCAGGAUGAAGGCCUUCGGGUUGUAAACUGCUUUUGUACGGAACGAAAAGCCUUCUUUUAAUACAGGAGGGUCAUGACGGUACCGUAAGAAUAAGCACCGGCUAACUACGUG